CAUUCAAAGCAAAGGCACGCAGCAGCAGCAGGCUUACCCUGUGCUUCUCAUAGCUGGAAGGAGUUGGGACCUCUGCACUUCCGGAGAUGUCUGCAGUACAGGACUCUGACACUGCUUACUGGGGCCUGAGACUCCCAAGUCCCUCCUGCACUGUUAGGCAGAUACAUCUCCUCGUCGUGUUCACAGCAAGCACCCAGGCGAGGAAUGCCAUAGAGGCACAUCGAAGCGGCUGAUCCCCGAAGCAGCCAUCCAAGAAACCAGAUUGUAAUAAGCAGACCAGACAGUUCAGACUACACAAGGGCUUGUAGAAAUACUUUGGACAUGGCAUCUUCUGAACCUGAGUUCCUAGUGCUGACUUAGAGAUGAGCCAGCAAAAAUGACCAUUUCUUCGCCAGGUGUGGAAUUGCAGUCCCUUCCCAUCCUUGGUCAGUUUGGAAACGGAUUUACUAACUCACACCACUCCCUUGGGUUGACGCACAAAUCGAUAUGGAAGCGCGUUGCAGUUACACACACAGGAAGGCAACUCCAGUUACUCUGCAGCUAAUUUAAACGUCCUGGGGAAGAGGAAAUUCUGGCAACGUUUAGCUUAAGAUGUACUUCCAGGCUACAGCCUAUUUCUGCCUUCAAGGAAACAAAAACGAAACAAAAUUAAGGCUGCACAUUACAAAGGAUCCAGCCACAGCAGCCAGCUGUGGUGAGAAGCAGGAGUCUAAGCUCCAAGCAGUAUUUGUAGCAGAUGCAAUCACACUCCUCCCUGGGGAAGCUGUUACACACUGACUACAAGCAAGACGUUGCACACUGCCUGGUACCCGCAAGCAGCCAGCUUACAGUAAGUCCACGAUCAAAUCUGCCCCAGGUAACUGAUCUGUGCAGCCUGUCUGAACAUGAGAAUGAGCACAGAGGGGAUGAGUUGGAACCACUGGAUGGCUGAAUAACCACCGUUUUGCUGCCACAUUGCCCAAAACAUGACAGGAACCUGCUGCAAUCUGCAGUUAACAUCUCCCAGACCUGCAUCGUCCAGUAAUAGCUGCAUGGGCUUUGCUGGUGCAGAACAGGAUGCCUUUAGCAACAGGAAGAGUUAAGGCUGAAGCAUACCAACGAGACAUAGAAGAAAACAAUUGCCUGGAAAAAAAAAUAAAGCCAACUAUGUAUCUUUUUUGUCCUAAAGGACUUAUUGGCUGCUGCAGUUAGCAAAGGCAUAGGGAAAAAGGGAACCAAGGCUAUUAAUUGUCUCCAGGAAUGAGAAUAGAAAUAAAAGCACAUUACACAGUUGGGUGUGGAGUGGAUAUAAUUAAAUGCUCAAAUUAAAAAAAGCUACCUACAGUAUUUGGAGGUUAAAGUAAAAAUGUAGGCUAAAAUUUAUGGACAAGCUCUGAGCCUGCAUGCAGACAUGCAAAGAGAGUUUCUUCAAGUGUAACAGCUCACCACUAACUACUGUAAAGCUCAAAAAACA